AAUGGGGCCACUGCUCUCAAAUCAUCAAGACAACUGAGGCUUUGAGGAUUUGCUAUGAAACUUUCAACAGAAGGAACUCCCGUGGAUGAAUUACAUUGUUCUUUAUGGAAAAGAUGAAAACUUUCUUUGUGGCUCUCAUGGUUAUUGGCUAUUUCUCAUAUAUUUUUGGUAACAUCGGAGAUAAGGACAUUUCGUGCAGUUAUUAUCAAAAGAAGACUGUACAACAGAAACACAUAUGCUCCAUAAGAGUCAGCCCAAUAUGUGCCUCUAAUAAUGUUACAUAUUCUAACUCCUGCAUGUACUGCUUUGCUAAAAUAGCUUUGGAAUUCACUCUUUCAGUUCGACAUCUUGGAAAAUGUCAGAAGUUCAAGAAAUCUUGACUGUGAAGUGACUUUCUUUUAUUCAUCAUAAAUGAACCCAUCUGAAUCAACCAUCAUCUUUCCUUCAAAAGGGGCAUAAGGAACAUGAAAGAGGUACUACUGAACUCUUAAAUUAAGGCUGACUGGAGUGAUACUAACAGCAUUCAGUGGAUAAAUACCCUUCAAUGCCCAACACAAUAAAGAAGUGACCCAUCCAAAAUGCCAAGAGUUGACUUCCCUGAUGGUCCAAUGGUUAAGAAUCCACUUGCCGAUGCAGAGUACAUGGGUUCAAUCCCUGUUCCAGGAGGAUUCCACAUUCUGUGGGGCAGUGGAGCCCACGCACCGCAACUACUGAACCAGCGUGCCCUAGAGCCCACAUUCCACAACAGGAGAAGCCGCUGCAAGAGAAGCCUGUGGACCACAACUGGAGAGUAGCCACCACUUGCCACAACUGGCGUAAGCAGUGAAGACCCAGCACAGCCGUAGAUAAAUGAAUAGAAUUUUUAAAUUUUAAAAACAUCUGCUUUAACAAUUAACAAACAAAAAACCCAAAAUGCCAAUGCUGCUUCUACUAAGAAACAUCUCACCCAUAGAGGCAAAGUAUCUAUUGCAUCCAACCCUGCUGCUUCUUCCCAUGCCUACCCCAAGUAUUGGUAAUCAAUGAGAGCACACUCCACUGAGUUGGACAUGGUUUCAAAAUCUUUCUCAACACAGCAAUCAAAGCAUGUUUUGUCCAUCAGAUUUGGCAUGGAAGACAAAACCCAUUUGCCAUUCUUGCCCUUACCUUUUUAAAACAAAGGAAGCA
ensembl:lncRNA